AUGGCGAGGUUAAAGCCGAAACAGUUGCUAAUUCAAAGCAAGACGAAGAAGGGUCCAUCACGAAUCAGUUAUUCUAGCAUCAUCACCUGGAAACUGAUCGUCGUCUUGGUUGUGCUAUCUCUCUAUGCAACUUACAGGCAUUGGCAUCACAGGCCGGCCUUCGAGGCUGAAAUGGAUCUUCCUCGGGCUGAGAAUGUAGAAAGAUCUGAGGAUUCAACAAAAAUAAGUACCCCAAGCUACGUGAUAAUGGACACUUUGAAAGGCUCAAUUACCAUAGAAAUAUCCAAAGAUGCUUCUGCUGGUGUUGUGGACAGAUUUAUCAACUUAUGCAAGAGUGAUUAUUUUAAAGGAAUGCCAUUUCGUCAUGUCAUAAAAAACUCGGUAAUCCAUGGUGGUGAUUUUGAUUUGAAUGGAGCUGCCCAUGAAUGGAUACUGAAAGCCAAAGCCAGUGGAGAAAAUGCUCUCAGUCCAAAGCAUGAGGCCUUCAUGAUUGGGACUACAAGGAGUCCUAAUAGUAAAGGAUUUGAUCUAUUUAUCACGACUGCUCCAAUUCCUGACUUGAAUGACAAGAUCGUUUUGUUUGGCAGAGUUAUUAAGGGAGAAGAUAUUGUUCAGGAGAUUGAAGAAAUCGAUACUGAUGAGCAUUACCAGCCCAAAACCCCUAUAGGUAUCAUUAACAUCAGCCUUAUACAGGAGCUUUGA
rnacentral:rRNA from 1 species